GCAGCUUUAGGGGAGGCUAUGGAGCCACCUCAGUGGUCACAGCUGUACCUGUCCAUUAGAUGGCGAGCAAAUAUUCUUUUAAAUAGUCUUUGUGAUGUUAUAGUCCUGAUGUGCUGUGGGAUCUCAUUCCAAGCUUUAGUGAGCACAUAAAAGAAAGCUCUCUGACCAUAGCAGUUCCUAAAGACCGGUAAAGGCAAAAAAACAGUUUGCUUGGUUGAAACUUA